rnacentral:rRNA from 1 species
UACAGAGGGGGCAAGCGUUGUUCGGAAUUACUGGGCGUAAAGGGCGCGUAGGCGGCUUGGUCAGUCCCGUGUGAAAUCCCUCGGCUCAACUGAGGAAGUGCACCCGAAACUGGCAGGCUUGAGUACUAAAGAGGGUCGCGGAAUUCCCGGGUGUAGAGGUGAAAUUCGUAGAUAUCGGGAGGACACCGGUGGCGAAGGCGGCGACCUGGGUAGAUACGUGACGCUGAGGUGCGAAAGCGUGGGGAGCAAACAGG